rnacentral:rRNA from 1 species
GACGAACGCUGGCGGCGUGCUUAACACAUGCAAGUCGAACGAAGAGCGACGGAAGCUUGCUUCUAUCAAUCUUAGUGGCGAACGGGUGAGUAACGCGUAAUCAACCUGCCCUUCAGAGGGGGACAACAGUUGGAAACGACUGCUAAUACCGCAUACGAUCUAAUCUCGGCAUCGAGGAGGGAUGAAAGGUGGCCUCUACAUGUAAGCUAUCACUGAAGGAGGGGAUUGCGUCUGGUUAGCUAGUUGGAUGGGUAACGGCCCACCAAGGCGAUGAACAGUAGGCGGUCUGGAAGGAUGAACGGCCACAUUGGGACUGAGACAAGGCCCAGAAUUCUACGGGGAGCAGCAGUGGGGAAUCCUUCGCAAUGGACGAAAGGCUGACCGAGGAACGCCGCGGGAGUGGUGACGGCCUUCGGGUUGUAAAGCUCUGUUUAUCGGGACGAAAGGCCUUCGUGCGAAUAGUGAGAAGGAUUGACGGUACCGGAACAGAAAGCCACGGCUAACUACGUG